rnacentral:snRNA from 1 species
UGAUGUGAGGGCGAUCUGGCUGCGACAUCUGUCACCCCAUUGAUCACCAGGGUUGAUUUGGCUGAUCUGGCUGGCUAGGUGGGUGUCCCCUUCCUCCCUCACCACUCCAUGUGCAUCCCUCUCGAAGCUGCGCGCUCGGUCGAAGAGGACGGCCUUCCUCAAAUAGAGACGGACCAGUCUUCUGUCGAGGGUAUACGAGUAGCUGCGCUCCCCUGCUAGAACCUCCAAACAAGCUCUCAAGGCUUUUUUUUUUUUAAAGAUUUUAUUUAUUGGGAGUCGGGCGGUGGCGCAGCAGGUUAAGCUCACUCGGCGCAAAGCACCUGGAUCCCAGUUCGAGCC